AGACCUUUAGUUUGAACCCCGAAACCAGGUGAGCUACCCCGAGACAGCCUAUAUUGAUUUAGGGCUAACCCGUCUCUGUGGCAAAAGAGUGGGAAGAGCUCCGGGUAGAAGUGACAGACCUACCGAACCUGGUGAUAGCUGGUUGCCUGAGAAGUGGAUAGAAGUUCAGCCUCGCACACCCCAAGCCAGAGAAUACACCGCUAAGGCACUCAGGGAAAUGUGGGAGAGUUAGUUAAAGGGGGUACAGCCCCUUUAACAAAGGAUACAACCUUUGCAGGAGGAUAAAGAUCAUAAUAUAUAAAACAUGCUGCUCUAGUGGGCCUAAAGGCAGCCACCUAAACAGAAAGCGUUAAAGCUCAGGCAGAAAGAAGUUUAUUAUACCGAUAAAAAAUCUUACUCCCCUAAUUAUAUCAGGCCAACCCAUGCCAACAUGGAAGAGAUUAUGCUAAAAUGAGUAACAAGAAGACCUGCUCUUCUCCCAGCACAAGUGUAAGCCAGAUCGGACUAGCCGCUGGAGCUUAACGAACCCAACCCAAGAGGGUAGUGUGAAUAGUACAGACCCCAAGAAGAACUCACAACUAAACAAUCGUUAACCCCACACUGGAGUGCUAUUAUAAAGGAAAGACUAAAAGAGGGGGAAGGAACUCGGCAAACACAAGCCUCGCCUGUUUACCAAAAACAUCGCCUCCUGCAACUAUAUUGAGUAUAGGAGGUCCAGCCUGCCCAGUGACUACGGGUUCAACGGCCGCGGUAUUUUGACCGUGCAAAGGUAGCGCAAUCACUUGUCUCUUAAAUAGAGACCUGUAUGAAUGGCUAGACGAGGGCUUAACUGUCUCCCCCCUCCAGUCAGUGAAAUUGAUCUAUCCGUGCAGAAGCGGGUAUAAUUAUACAAGACGAGAAGACCCUUUGGAGCUUAAGGUACAAAAUCCAACCACGUUAAACGACCCCCUAAAGGGCAAGAACUUAGUGGCCAAUGAAGUUUUACCUUCGGUUGGGGCGACCACGGAGGAGAAAAAAGCCUCCGAGUGGACUGGGUUAAAACCCAAAGCUAAGAGAUACAUCUCUAAGCCGCAGAACAUCUGACCAAAAGUGAUCCGGCUAAAAAGCCGAUCAACGAACCAAGUUACCCUAGGGAUAACAGCGCAAUCCUCUCCCAGAGUCCAUAUCGACGAGGGGGUUUACGACCUCGAUGUUGGAUCAGGACAUCCUAAUGGUGCAGCCGCUAUUAAGGGU
rnacentral:rRNA from 1 species